GAAAUCAACACAUAUAUAGAUAGAGUCACUCUUCUUCUUCAGUCUUCUUCACCCAGACAACAACAGCGACAUCAAUCAAUCAAUCAAUGUCCGGGAGAUCUGGUUUGAAGAAUGAAUGAUGUUUGGAUGGUUUGAAGAUUGAUGAAGAAGACUCGGAGCAUGCACUCAAGGUUUUGUUACUACGUACUAUCACCAACACAAUCCCUAAGUGAAGAGUUUGAUUUUAGUUUUGUUUCUCUAUAUGGAUGAAUUUCAUCUUUAAACAAUGGCAAGGGCUUACUAGCCAGCAUACGGAGACGACAUCUUCAAUUGCUUUAAUGAGAGAGGUGUCAUUUUUGGUGUCUUUGCAGGUGAGGAUCUGAAGAGGACUUUGUUUGUUUCCAUGCUGUCACUUCUACUCUCAUCUGAUUUGACGACGAAGUAAUAAAGGUACAAAAGUUCUUGGGGUUUUGUUUAUGGUUGUAGGUGUUGCUGCUAGCUUCUCCAGAUGGAGUUUUAAGGUUCCCCCUUUCAUCCAAUGGAAAAAUUCUCUUCAUCAUCUAGAUGCUUUGAAGAAUGAUGAGGAAGACUCAGACUGUUUAAGGACUUUAUCUUAAAACAACGGCAAGGGCUAACCAGCCAGCAUACAGAGACAUCUUCAAUUGCUUUAACGAAGUCUAAGCAGGUGUCAUUUUGGUGUCUUUGCAAGGGAGGAUCAGUGGAGAACUUUGUUUGUUUCCAUGAUGUUUCUUCUACUCUCAUUUGAUUUGACGACCAAGUAAAGACCGGUGAGAUGGUUUGGAGAAUAAUGUUUCAUAACAAAAACUUGGCCGGUGUGCGUUCCCACAGUGUAACAACAUGAAACUGAUUCUAUAGUGAUUGAUGCUCUUUGACUCUAUAUACAACACGUCAUCCUCUUUGUCCAACUUCAAAUUCUACAUCCAUAAGUGUUGCUAGCUUCUCCAGAUGGAGUUAUAAGGUUCCCUGCUUUCAUCCGAUGGAAAAAAUAUCUUCUUGAUCUUUGUCCUAAAGUUGUGGACACCACUAUCAUCAACACUUAUGCAGCUGUAAUUCAGACUAUGGGGAUUUGAAGUUGUCCUAAAGUUGUGGACACUGGACACCACUAUCAUCAACACUUAUGCUUCCUGUUAGCACCAAAUCUGACAUGAGAAGUGAUCAUGGACUCCUGGUGUUGUGAGGAGUUACGAAAAGCUUUUGGUAGAGAUGGUAUCUAUUGUUCCUUAUGGAGUUGUCUACUUCUUUGUUAGUUACUCAUACAAUGAAACUGGAAUUCUGAAGGAAAUAUUGCAACAGAAGCUUGUUUUCAUCGAAACACUAGAUGUUAUAGAAACAACAUUGGCAGUGGAUAAUUAUCGCAGGGCUUGCGAUUGCGGAAGAGGCUUCUCACGUUGACUCCUCCGCCAACUGAAACCCUCUAAUCGCCGCGGAGGUUUCUUACGUUGACUCCUCCGUCAAUGAAAACCAAACAGAUGAUUGAAUUAGAAUCAAUUCAUAUGAGAUAUCUUCAUGUAAGCAAACAUGGCCAACAUGAUGGUUUUUAGUCAAAUAGUGUGUGCAACGGAGAAGCAAUUUAAGAAAAGUCAAAGUACGUCGCUCGAAGGGCCCCUAUUGAACCAAUUCAAGUCCAUGAAACCUAUCCCUCCAUUAUUUUUCAUUUGGGCCUUAUAUCCAUGUCAUUUUCCGUUU